GUGUCACUCCUGCAGCACAUACACCAACACUGAGACGUUACAGAAAAAAUUAGCAUAGCCACUGUGCAAAGGAGAUUCACAAAUUUGUAAAGUUGCCACAUUUUU
rnacentral:snRNA from 1 species